rnacentral:rRNA from 1 species
CGGGGGGAGCAAGCGUUGUUCGGAUUUACUGGGCGUAAAGGGCGCGUAGGCGGCUCUUUAAGUCAGAUGUGAAAACCCAGGGCUUAACUUUGGGAGUGCAUUUGAAACUGAAGAGCUCGAGUGCAGGAGAGGUAAGUGGAAUUCCUAGUGUAGCGGUGAAAUGCGUAGAUAUUAGGAGGAACACCAGUGGCGAAGGCGACUUACUGGACUGUAACUGACGCUGAGGCGCGAAAGCGUGGGGAGCAAACAGGAUUAGAUACCCUGGUAGUCCACGCUGUAAACGAUGGAUACUAGGUGUGGGAGGUAUCGACCCCUUCCGUGCCGCAGUUAACGCAAUAAGUAUCCCGCCUGGGGAGUACGGCCGCAAGGUUG